rnacentral:rRNA from 1 species
AUGUUCCGCGAUGUCUCACGCUUCACCAUCCAGUGCUCUACAUGUCGCAAAGCUAAGUCACAAUCUCAAUCCCAUGGUUUACAUAUGCCACUGCCUAUUCCACAUCAACCUUGGGAAGAUAUUAGCAUGGAUUUUGUGCUUGGAUUACCUAGGACUCAAAAUGGCAAGGACUCCGUAUUUGUUGUCGUGGACCGAUUCUCUAAAAUGGCUCAUUUUAUCCCAUGCAAUAAGAUAGACGAUGCUUCACAUGUUGCAAAUCUUUUUUGUAGGGAAAUCUUGAGGUUACACGGAGUUCCAAAGACAAUUGUGUCGGACCGAGACGUCAAGUUAUUAAGCUACUUUUGGAAGACGUUAUGCGCCAAGCUCGGAAUCAAGCUACUCUUCUCCACGACAUAUCACCCUCAAACCAAUGACCAAACGGAAGUCACCAACCGGAUGCUCGCCACUCUCCUACGCGUGUUGAUCAAGAAGAACAUCAAGGAGUGGGAGGAGUGCUUACCCAUCGCCGAGUACGCCUACAACCGAGCAAGACACUCUACCACCGGCAAGUCCCCCUUCGAGGUUGUCUAUGGCUUCAACCCUUUGUCGUCGUUGGACAUCCUUCCUCUAUCGCUUCAAGAACGAGCAAACAUGGAUGCUAGCACAAGAGCCACCUACCUCAAGAAGAUGCAUGAAGAAACACGUUCCACGAUCGAGUGCCAAGUACAACGACUCGCCUCCAAGCUCAACAUCAACAAGUCACCGAUGGUGUUCCAACUGGGCGAUCUAGUAUGGUUACAUCUAUGCAAGGACCGCUUCCCCAAGGAGCGCAAGUCAAAGUUACUUCCGAGAGCCGAUGGACCAUUGAAGGUGCUCGCACGAUACAAUGAGAACGCCUACAAGAUUGACAUUCCACGUGACAAGUACAACGUAAGCGACAUCUUCAACGUCAAAGACUUGGCCAAGUACCAUGGUGAUGAUGAUCACAAUUCGUGGACGGAUCUCUCCCUAGGGGGAGAGAUGAUGCGGAGCAUCCCUCGACCACCCACACGGACACUCCAUCACCACCGCAAGCACCAAGAGAACCAAUGA